UGAAGAUGCAGUAGGAUGGAAUGAGGCAACUCGAAGAAGAAGAGCACCAAGGUCCAGUACGACCGGGCAAAAUUGGCCUUUUUAAGUCUUUGCUCUAUUCUUGUUACACGACAAUGAGCAAAGAGGGGCAGCUGUAAUGGCCCAAUAUUGCCCGGCCCAAUAUAAAUAAUACAAACCAAAAAUAUUAAUAAGAAAAUGUCCAAAUACAUAAGGCCUAACGGGGCCCA
rnacentral:lncRNA from 1 species